rnacentral:ncRNA from 1 species
GAAAGCCGUGUGCGGGAAAACCGCACGCACGGUUUGAUGAGGGAGGGCUGGAGACGGAAACUAUGGCCCGGCUAUUUAGGCACCGGCAGACGAAAGGGCCGGAAACGGGUAAGCCGCGCCUGUGGUGAAAGGAACCAGCUCUCUACUCUAC